GUCUGGGAUAGCUCACCUGGUAGAGCAUGAGACUCUUAAUCUCUGGGUCAUAGGUUCAAGCCCCACAUUGGGCA